rnacentral:tRNA from 7 species
GCGGGGAUGGCUGAGUCUGGCCAAAGGCGGCGGACUUAAGAUCCGCUCUCGUAGGAGUUCGUGGGUUCGAAUCCCUCUCCCCGCA